CUUAUUAAUGUGAUCACCCCAGUGAUACAGGAGGGUGCAUACUUCAUCAUUUAUAUCAAUGCGGAAAUGACAAAGAAGGAGAAGCUAGACCAUCUGGGGCCGUGGGAAGGUCUGGCAGAGAGAGAGUACUUGACAGCGAAAGUACUUGGGAGGCCUGACUUCAUCUCCUCGUAUCCAGGGACUGACUGAAACAACACAGACAAGGGCCAUUUAUGGAAGGACAGGUAACCACCAAAGGCUCUACGGUGGAAAUAAGAACGCAGUGAACAAACAGUGAGCAGGAAGGAGGUUUGGCAGCAGGCAGUGAGAUCCAUCCAGCUAACAAACUAUAGCGCAGGGUUGGUCUCCAAUGCUAGAAUAUGUGGGUACCAAGUAUUGAUUCACUAAUAUAUCCAUUUGCUUAACAAAUGCAUGCUGAUUCUUGCUAUGCGACGCCAUUAUAUUGGAAGGAUAGGUCUAGACAUUUGCUCAUUUUUCGAUUUGCUCAACCAGUAUUAUUAAACAGCUACUAUGU